CGAAUCUCGCCAUUCGUUCAUUUCAACGACUGCACGCUGCAAACACGUGUAGCACCCGUAUCACCACUCAGUGAGUCCCUCACGUGAGAAUGGGGGGUGCUUGGGUUCGAUGUAUUGUUUUAGCAAGAAGCUAUUUAAAAAAUAAAUGAGACCCAGAGAUGGUUGUUCUUUUAACAAAAGUAAAAUGAAUAGGGUAACGCCCUUGUUUAUUUAAAUACAAUAAUUACUUUUCCCCAAAACACAAUAUUACCAAAUAGACAAAAAUAAAUAACCAAAACUUCCCCAAAACGUAAAUGAUAAACUCCAAAUUCGGUGAUACAUCCCAAUAGUAUCAAUGACGUUACAUCAAAAUAAAUGUUCGAAAUGUUCCCGUUCCUCAACUCGGAGAAUACCAGAGUUCUCAACAAUAACAACACAACUUCCCCCUCCAAGUGUCUUGAAAGAAGUAUUGUAUUGCGGUGUUGGGCCCAAUCACACACACAGCCACACAUGUUCCAGUUACUUACGGCAACGAUAUGUACGGGGAGAAAAAACACGUUGCAGGCCUGUUUGGUCUGGCAAAACAUUGAGUGCGCUGAAACCACAGUCAAAACAUUGAGUGCGCUGAAACCACAGUCAAAACAUUGAGUGCGUGGAAACUCGGGUCCGCGAUGCGAGUCACCGACACUUCCGGCCGGCCGCGCCCACCGUGGCUAGCAAGCUCGGCUCCCUCGAUGGCGACCUCCGCUGCUUCUCCCCCGCUCCGUCCGACGGGGUUUCAGCUCCGGUUUUUCCUCCGUUUCCAGGCUCACAAACACACCGAGUCCGCGGUCCACUCCUUCCAGUCUCCCGCGCCGGUUUAUUCCACCUUUUUCUCUUCCCCAAAAACGCCGGCGUCCCGUGCUCUUCGCGACCCCUCGUUUUUUCCAAAGAACCCCCAAAACUUCCAGCACUUUCCAGUCACGUGUCUUCCCCGUUGUUUUCCAAACCAAUCACCAUUGGCUAUACAGCGUGAACACACAACUGACCGAUAAUACUGUAACAUCAAACAGUAAGUACUAAAAGGCUAACGGCCUAAAGCCUCUGGAGAUAUUAUUUAACUAAAUAUGAACUUAACAUUAGUAUUCAUCACUAUGACAAAUAUUACUCCAUGCACGACAAAUAAACAUCUCCCCACUUAGAAAUCAGGUGUCCCCUAUUAUGUAUUUAAUGUAAAAUAAACAUUUACUUUUUUUAAUAGGCAGGCACCUAGUUCUGAAAGUACGACUAUAAGUCCUAAGUUCACCAGGGGACUACACACGUAUCAUAUUCUCAUGUAGGUUAGUGCAUGUCAAUUAAAUUAGUAUCAUGAAAGUUUGGACGAUUUGAAAUGGUCAUUAUCAUAUUAGCAUUUAGUUAUCACGGCAAACAAUUACGCUGCACUGAAUUUUACAAAAAAGUACAAAAAAACGUUAAAACAACAAAACCUAUAACUAUUACUUGGGAACAAAUGUCAUUCACGUCUUCCUAAACCUAGUCCUGUGAAAGUGAACCAGGUAAACAAAUCCUUUCCUCUUCUGAGCCUACGCAGGUCACUCAUACUCGAAGACCCUGUCGGGAAAUGAACAAAUUAUUUCUGUUUCCUUGACUGAGCCUAUGCGACAGUCCCAAUGCGCGGCCACGAGAAAAUGAACGAAUUUGUCUUUGAGACGACCCGUUACUCCCGAGUCCUUGUAAGGAUUUGUCCAAAACCGUUCACAAACGACACAUCACUAAUAUCAAAAGGUACACGGACCUAAAAGUGGUCAGUUUGUAAAACGGGUGGGUAGUCGUUGUCUCGUUUUUCGUUUAGAACCCAACGAGACGACUGCCCACUUCUGUUUUACCGCUUUUGGUUUCCAACGAGAAAACAGUGUUUUUCAAAAGGUACACGGGUCCAUAAACCAUUAUGAACUAUAUUGCAUCAAACAGCGAACCGAUGAGUAUCGCUGUGUUCAUGGAUAAAAUAAAAUAAAAUACUUCUGGUGCCAACACAUCCCUCAAAAAGGUAUAUGGACCAAAAGUCAGCAAACGGUCGCCCACUUCCGCCCAACUAUGGUAUUUUCGUUUCAUGAUUUUUCCGGUAAAACGGACAAAAAGGUACACGGACCAUGUACUCCCAAAAUGGGCUUUGAGAAGCUGAUCCUGUUCAUCCUGGGAAUCUGGCGGCUGCAUGGGCUCGUGCUCUGCUGAGAUGGACUGCUUGUCAUAUUCCUGCCAGACAUUGAAAGAUAUUGGAGGAAAAGAGCACUUUAACAGGAAAAAAAAGGGGAACAAAUGAAAAGGCAAAAUAUUUUGUGCUGCUGCCGAGCGCAACUGUAAUGAUACACCAAGCGGCGUGGAUACACACCCGGACUACGGUUGACCCGUCUUGUUACAGUCACACAUCAUUCAAACUGCGUAGGAGAGGUACAAUGAUUCUUCUGAUUUUCAAUUUAUUUUUUGGCUGAGCAAAAUAUCCCUUCCAAUACAGGUGCUAAUAAAACUUGUUUCCCUGAAGCGGCGCUGCCCCGUGCGUGGUGUCACUCUGCAGAGGCCUCACACCAUGAUAAAAUCAGUCAAAUCUAAAAUGUUACUUCACUUAAACAGUUUAAACAUAAUGUUACAGGCUAAGAAUGCAAAGGCACUAGUGGUAUUUUGCUUUUUAAUUGGUGUAUAUCCAUUUGUUAGAGUCAUAUUACAUAUUACAUAUCAUAUUACACGUUUGGUUGCUAAGCUGCAUCAUGUGUCAUGCUGUGGUUUAGACUUUGAGUUCAUCGCUUUAACCUUCAUGUGAAUUACUGCCCUGACAGUCAGGAACUGGCUAGUUCCUCCGGCAGGUUCCUCUUCGUCCAACCUGUUAAACCUGAAGACACACCCGCCCUGUUCAGCCGAGGCUGAAAAAAGGACUCACCCCCUUUUGUUCAUGACAUCGCGUGAGUUUCUCCAAGUGUGAAGGAGUGUGUUCACCACCCUCCUCUGGAAAUAUAAGUCUACUCUAAAAAGGUAAAGAUUCAAGUCGACAGAAAGGCGACUCUGAAAGCAAAGGGUAAGAACGCUGCUCCUUUUUUCUCUGCUCCUAAUGGCCGUCUCUCACUUCCUUUCCCUGUUGCUUUCAUGGUGGACGAGGCUGAUGGAAUUUCAUUACUUAUGAUUGAAAACCAAUGGAGUUUUGAAAGCAGAAAGAGAUGGAAAGGUGCACUCAAAAUGCCAGUAUACCCUCCAGAUGCUAGCAAUCUAAUUUCCUGUCAGCGGUAAUAAAUGGGGAGCCACCCGAUGGCAAAGAUAAGAUGCUAUUUCACCAUCAGGGUUAUCACUUAAUACCUGAUCAUGUCUGUGGGGAGCAGUUGUAUCCGACAGUUAAAACAGGGGGCCUCAACUCCUGGCACGAGAAAUGAUCAUCAGUGUGGAAGAACUGUUAAUCUGUCAAAUCAAUGUGACUUCACUCCAUAGAGAGUUCAUGAAAGGGAUUUGAGUCGUCCCGCUGUGUUAAUGAUUUUCUCUUUAAUGAAACCGGACAGCUCUGCACGUUGUUAUUUUAAAAGGUGUUAUGCAGAUAAGACUUCUUAUCUUGUAAAAUAAUACAUUUCAAAUGUAGUUUGUGUGUAACUGUGUGUUUGAUUAAACAAUUUCCUCUGCGUUUUUUGAGGAAGUGUUUGAAGGGGGAAUGUUACUUGGGUAGAUUCCUUAAGACAAAGUAAGAUGAGGAUGGAAAGUAAUUGCAAUGAACAAAUGCUGACUCAUUUACCAAAACAGCCAGAGCUGCCGUUCCUGAAACAUACUCGGGAUAUUGUUACAAUGAGAAAUGCUUGUAUGGUGGAGCACUUGAGCGUGGGAGUUUACACAAGACGUGGUUCAUAACAUAACGUGUGUUCAGCUAUAGUGAAACCAUGACAGACAGACAAUAAUACACGCUUUGUCUCCCCAGUCCGGAUAAAUCCAUCUGAAAGCAAUUACAGUCCACCGGCCAAUUGUCAAAAAAACCCAAAGAGGCAUCGAUCAUCAUGGGGAAAGGGGAGAGCGACGACUGGGAUGAGAAGCACGGGGACACGAGGCAGACUCAGCCUCGCAAACAGAAGGAGACUGAGGGUUCAAGCUCCGGGAGCAAAUGUCCCAAGUGCUGCCUGCAGACACGGAACUGUCUGAUGAGCCCGGAGUGCGGCAGGGCCCUUCAGAUCUCCAGCGUCGUGGCCUGGUGUGGAAUGUGCAUCCGCCUGUUUGUGUGUAAGUAUGAAAAAAGGAUUUCCUGCUUGGAUGAAUCCAUACCACAUUUUAACCCUUACAUUUAAAAAGGUGGACGAGGUUUAUUUUAAGUCUUUCUAGCUGUGUAAAUACACUGAAGUUAAAGUCCCGCCAAAGUGAAAAAAAUGUCAAUUUUUCAUUAAUUAUAUUAUUUUCUUUCUCAUUUUAAUUGCAGAAGCUGACCUUGAACAUCCAGACCAGUUUCUUAAGGAUGCUUUACUGUCAUUCAGAGGUGAAAAUAUUGCUUUUCAGUCUGUUUCAUAUACUCGCCUUAUAUCUAAAUCAAGUCAUUAUUUAUUUAACAUAGAACAAUUCAGUAUUUGUACAUAAAACAAACUAAAUAGACAAUUUUCAUGAAUUAAUUCAUUAAUUGAUGCUUGUGACUGUGUAUUUGAUCCAUAUUGGUUGUUCAUUAUAUAUGUCUGUCCAAAGUGUAAUAAUUGUGUCCUAUUAGACGUUCGAGAGAGCUGUUAUAAUUGGGCUUCAUAAUGCCAUGAAGCCCAAUGGUAUUUAUUGAGCUCACAAUGACUUUGAAUCAUUUCAGUCUUGAGUUGGGGGGGGGACACUUUAGCCAAAUUUGCUCUAAGGGAUUGCUGAGACAUCACGAGAACGAACUGGAGGUGCGGACGGACGACCCCAAAACCCAAUUGGUCCAGCCUAGUCUGUCGGCGACACGACACACACGAUUAUAAACAAGCGAACCUGACGACGUGAAGAGGAAUGUUACAGUGAAACCCAAGCAUCUUCUCUAGAAUAAUGAGUAAGAUGAAAAAUGUAUGAAGGAAUGAAAAACUUGAAAUAACGUUUGCAGGAACAAGGACAAGUGUACUUCAUCCAACACAAAUAAUGAGAGACCUCUGGUUAAUUAAAAGCCUUGGACCACCCUGAUGAUCUUCGUGGCAUGGUCAUUUUGAGAGAGGGGCUCAUUGUGAACAUAACAAGCGAGCUAGCAAAGAAUAGAUUUCAUUUUUUGUGAUGAUUUCACAAGGCAACAAUAACAUUACUGCCUCUUUGUGUCUUCUUUUCCAUCACACAAAGGGUAUAAACUGAGGACAAAUGCAUACAAAAAAUACUGACCCAAGUGUGGGGUUAAAACUCUCAUUCGGAGAACAAUGUAUCUGUUAUUUAUCAUCCUCUCUCUUUUAAUUUUGCGUUCAAUGAUUUAUAUUCGUGUUCUUUCACUGCAUGUCGCCCUUCAGUUGCUGCCUCUUGUGUGCCACCGUGUCAGUGUGGGCAUCACAUACAGGGGUGACAUUUCAAGCAGACAGAUUAGGGCCUCUCACCAAUUAAUUUUGCCUCCCUUCCCCCGUUAAAUACACAAUCAACCAAAGGCAAAAUGUCAUUGAAAUAAACGAGGAGCUGCCAUGUGCUUGACAAUUACUGCAAAGCCCCUCAGAAAUGCCAAUACGUUAAAGUGGGAGCCGUGUGUGAGAUGAAUGGGGGCCAACAGUCUGUUAGGAGCCAAGUUGCCGCAACACUGGAAAAAGACACAUUUCUUCCUUCCUUGCUAUGGAUAUCCGAUGUGUAGUGACAGACAUUGUGUUAAAAGGUCAAGAUGUUAGCUGCAUUGGGUAUUUAACACAUGACUUUAUGCAGUGUACUCUUUACUUAAUGAGUUUGUGUGCUUUCCCAACAACCUCCACACACAGAUCGCAGAGGAAGAAAUUGAGACAAAGUGGUUAAACAAAUAUUCAAAGACCAUCACCAGCUAACUUAAUAGGGGGAACCCUUGAAGCACUAAAAACAGACACAGGCGUAUAGACCCUCCAACUCUGAACCUCCCUUGGUGUCAAUCCAACGGUUAGCCAAGUAGCUAAGAGCGUACGCCAUUUGCAAUGGAUUGACAGCCACAGUCUUACAUCAUCGGCCCUCCACACCAAUUUCUUGAAAACAGGUUCCACAUUGCCGUUGCAUUCUGCCAUCGUCUGUCUGUUCAUCUAUAUAUUUGUCAAUUGCAAUGGGCAGAUGCCAUUAAAAUCUACUUCAACCGGUGCCAAUCCACAUCCAGUUUGUUGCUCCCGCUCCGAUUCGUUCGCCAAACAAGCCUCUUCCCGACCGCCUGACCGAGCCGAGGUAAGAGGGGAGGAAACCCAGUCGGGUGUGCCUGGUAGUGGGCCGCAUCCCUGUUUGUCACGGUAGUGAAACAAAACUCCUUCUAGCUCUUCCAAAAUCCAUUUUAAAUCGCCUUCUUUUGCCAAGAAUUGCAGCCGGCCUGUGAUUGACUUGGCCCACAUCCAGCCUCGAUACAAUUUGUUGCAUAAAUGCUAAAAUCGAUGGGUCAUUACAUUAAUGAAAUGACAUGACAGAGGGACAUGAUCCCGCAGAAGCAUCAAGGUUCUUCAUAGCUUCUGGCCAUACUUAGAUGCCAAGAUUCUGAAAGGUUUUAGGAAUGCUGGAUCAGGGAAAUUCAUUGAAGCCGAUGUCAAAAAAUGGUCUUGAAUCCAGCCUGUGGCAAUCUCACUGUCUCUCAAUGCGUAUUUCUCCCACACAACUAAACCAACCAUUAUGGACUGAUUCCCGGUCCACUCUCCCGUGAAAGCCCACAUUAACAUCUGUUUUCCGCAGAUGAGAAAUACAAAAUCACACUGCACUGCACCCACCUCUCAGGAUAAAAAUACAGAUUAUGGGAUAUGAAAGGUCUUUUUAUAGUUAUUGCAACCGAGGAUGAGUAAAAUUGAGCCUAUGGCGUCUUGGAAGUACACUCUGCCCGCCCAUUUAAGAUGUCCUGACUCAUUCAUCCUAAAGAGUCAGAAUUCACAUCCUCCCAGGAACCUUGUUCCUGCUCAGACUGGUAAUUUCUUUUUGCUUCCUUGAACUUAUUUUUAUCUAAACCUUUUACUGCCACCAUGAAGAUGAAAGGUGAAAACCAAAAAAAGUGAUACAAAUGUUAGGGUCUGCACUCUUGGUGUGUGUAUGUUGAAGUGAGGAAGCAACAGGGAGGGAGACUGUGACAGAGAAAGAGACGGAAAGAGAUGAGAUUUGUUCACCCGGGGCCCUCUCUCCAGAGCGGCCUUUUACCGUCGUCAAUCAUCUCCAUGGAGACAUCUUAAAACUGAUGGAUGGGCGGCUCUGUUGCAUUUCAAACGUGCCUGUGAUACGGACGACAGUUGGUGUGUGUUGGGCUUGAUUACAGUAACAAAACAGUAGACCACGUGGGUCUAGCCACUGGUCGAGCUACUGACCAGCAGUUAAACAGGUUACCAAAUUUGAUGCUAUUGGGAAGCAGGUUUCAUUACAUGUACAAAUAGUUGAAUUGCAGGUGUUAUGAAAAUAACAGUUUUGCCCUUUUUAACUAAAUUACCAAGCCACAACGCUUUAAUCAGUGAGCUUUACAGUUUCUGGCACCCAGAUUGUUUCCCUUUAAACAGAGCUAGACAACCUGCUCCUAAUGCUAAGCUAAGUAAUUUGAGAGCUGUAUCAAUCUUUUCCCCUUUUAAUAAAAAAAAGUAUAAUCAGCAUUUGAAUUAUUAAGCUAUGGCCAAAAACACAUCAGUCACAUCACCUUGUCUUCCUUAAAUCUAAUCAGUUUAACCUUGAAACUGUAUGAUGGAUGGUUCAGUUAUGAUGAGACCAUUAUGUUCGAGUGUCAAUAAUGCACAAAAGUAGACCUUACGUUACUGGAGGAGGGAUACACCAGUAACGUGGAGCUGGAGGUGAUGAGAAAUCAGUUCGGGAAGGGGGAGACCAGCCAUUUCUUUCCUGUUUGGAAGACAGCUUGUCUCCAAGAACAAGGUCUCUUGUUUUUGCCUUUUCAGCAAAGAAACAAAGCUAAUGUAAUCCUCUGCUUCCUCAAAGCCUGAUCAGCGCGAGUCAGGGUCAGCAGGACCAGGCAGAUGAAAUGCACAAGGCGUAUCAUUAGCGUCACAUAUCGCUCUCCGCAAGGAUUAGCCACUCUGCUUUCGCUACGUUUUCACAAUCAAGACCAACUUUAACACCCAGCUUUGCUCCUCGCCCGAGGGAUGUGGAAGAAAGAUCCAGUGUACUGUCUGUUUUCCCUGAGUUCUCAUGAGAACUUCAACAAGUCGUUUUGCUGGCGGCCUUUGCGGCACUCACUUUGUCAGCAUAAUUCCCUGCCAUUAGAACAGGCGAUAUAAAAGGGCACCUAAGGCUAAUUUUAGAGGACAAGAAGUGCUUUCACUCAAUCUUUCUACACACACCUAAAAAAAAAGAGUCAAUUCCCAACAAGUAAUGGGUGGGUGCAAUGCACUGUGGACACCGGCAGGAAAAGAAAAAAGAACUCUUCUUUUGCUUUAAGUCUCCAUCUCUGCUCUUCAAAAUAAAUGGCGGUCAUUGAUGUCAUUUAGUAACUGUGCGGCUACUGAAGCACUUUGCAGCUUUAACUUUAUGCAAAUUGGUUCUUCGAAAUAGCUGUUCAGACAUUUAAAAAAAGGAGCAAUGUGUAGGAUUUGGUCGUAUUCAGCGGUGCAAGGUUUCCAGAUGGCUGAAAAUUCAGAGGUUCAUAUGCAAAGUACAGAUACUGUAUUUAAUUGUAUAAUCAGCCUGAUCGAUAAACUCUCCCACUAUGUCUACAUUCUGCCUCAUCCCAGGUGACAGAUUUGCGUCCAUAGAUUACAUCUCUGGGUGAAAGUCCUGUGUUUGGGUGACCCGUACACGUAUGUAACACUACACCGCUAGCUGUAAGUGUUAGCAUAGUCGCGUGUUAGGUUGUUGCAUUAUGGGAUACCAAAGGAAACAUGGCGGUGCAACAUGGUGGACCAGCUCUUGACCAUUUAACACAACAAUUCUUAGUUUUAGGUGAUAAUUUAAUUAUGGAAACACAUAAUUUUACCCUUUGUUAAUAUGUCAAUCUAAAUCCUAACACCCCUCCAAAAUAUACUCAAGUAGACUGCCAAAACAAUCAAAAAAGCAUCAUCAUUUUCCUACUACCUUUUGAAUUCGCCGGGCAGCACAAGCUCAUACAACAUGAAACGAAGCUGAAGAAAUGAGAAAAAAAGAAAAAAAAGAAAGCUUAUUGAGCACAACAGAUCUGAGACUUUUCUGCAUUCAGUCAACAAACUCUCUGCCGCCUACAGAAUUUAUGGCCUUUGAAAGACUGCUGGACGGAUCAAAAGCAGACCCUGGCUUAUGAAUAUUCCCUGAAUCAAAAAACAAUCUAGACUGCACCAACAUGCUGGUUGCACAAAAUCGCUUUCUCCGAGAGCGCUUGUUCUUUUGACAGCGAGGCCAGAUGUUACGGUCGAAAUUACCAACUAAAAUCUGAAAGAUUGUGUGUGUGUCCAACACAAGAUGAAUUCCAUUUCUUCCACAAAAAUUUGAUUUAAUUCAGCUUCUGAGGCGAACAGCAAAAAAAACUGAAUAAACAUUGCUCGCCAGUUAUUCUACAUUUGUUUGGCUGUGAUCCUCAAUAUUUCAUUUCUUUUUAUUUAAAAAACAAUUAAAAAAAAAGUUUUGCAUGGCGCAGAUUAUGUUGGCUGUUUUUAGAUCCUCUAAUUUAAAGCAAACCAUGGUUCACAAAUUGUAAUUUGAAAUGUUGCUUGCUUCGUACAAUUUUUGUUUUUUGUUUUUUUGGAAGUGUUUUGAGAAAAAGAAGUUGGAAAAGGCGACGGAGUUCAUUGUGGUUUUCUACUAAUCCAGCGAUCUUGCCUGUUGAAGGAAUGACACCAUUGGCAAAUAGUUUAAAACAGGUUAUUGCUUCUUUAGCAGCAACCUUUGUUACUUGAUAUUUAGUGAGCUUUAUGGUGAGGCAAUUUAAGAUCAUUAUGUAACCGCAAGGCUAAAAAUAAAGAUUUUUCCAAAUAAGUGGAUCCAUUAUAGACCAUUAAAUCUGAAGUUUCCCACUAAAAGCUUUCCAGCAAUUACAUAAACAGUUUCACAUUCUAGAUAUGUUUUAUUCUAAGUAAUUCAAAAGCUUUUUGAUUGGUAAAAAGAAAAAACAACUGCAUAAUAUCAGCAAUGAAACACACAACGCUUCAGAGCAUAACUAAUUAAAUAAACAUUGUUAUUAAUUAAUCAUAUAACUAACAACCCACCUCAAGGUUAAUUUGUUCCGGAGCUUUUGAUCUUAUCGCACAAUCUUUUUCAGCAGAUGGAGUUUGUCAAUUUCCAUUUUGCUGAGCAUCCGUGAUUCCUGGUGCAUUGAGUUUUUAAGUUAAUACUCAAACGUCUUAGCAAAACAUAGCUAACUUAUCCUGUGAGAAAGAUCGUGUAAUAUGCUGGAAAAAUUCAGAACAGAUGAAGAUUUUGCGUAUUCCAAGAUUGGACUUUAUUCACACGUGGUAAAAAUAAUUUUGAAAGUGUAUCUCUUAGAUUUGUGAUUAUGCCUUUUUAUAUACAAUAACUGUUUUCCCCUUUAAUACAUUUAAUUUGGUUAAGCAGAUGAGUUGCUGGUUGGAUUCCUAAAUAAACUUAGUCUGCUCUUUUGUAAUGAAGACCGGCGCCUGAGGCAUGAGUGACAACAUAUAACCUACUAUACACCCAUGCUUGGCUACUUCCAGAUGAAAUCAAUGACCACAGUGGCAAGAUAGCUGAGACAAAUGUUUUUGCAUUCACUAGCUGGUGCAUUAAUAAUGGAUGAUCAGAUUUCCCAUUAGCAGUCACAUUUCAAGCUUCUCACAAAUUUGUUCACAACUGAGGUCAGAAGCAUGGAAGUAACAACCGGCAAAUGAAUCCAAUGGGAAAGUUGUAUUGAAUAUGAGAGAUCAAGAGGUAUGUGGAUCCUGCCAAAACACAGAGAAAGUAAAAAUGUGCUAUGGUGAUAAAAUCACUGAUAGGAAAAGAUAGGACGCAAGCCACCAGGCAUUUCUCGAGAUAUGAAGGAAAUUACUUUUCACCAAUUAAUUCUGUGGAAAUUUGGUUCUGGGCCGUUAGGUGCCUGAUCUUCGUGACAAUUAUCAUGUAAUCGUUUGAGUAGAAUGCAAACUAAACUAUUUUUGUAACGCCCACGUGAGUUAAUGGUGAAGAAGAAGAAUAGUCUAGUUAUCUAGUUAAGUUGCACAACUAAAACGAUUGUGUUCAGUUGAGGCAACGAAAGAACUUGGCAAGGCGUAAAAGUAUGUAAGUUAUGUAACAAAACUGAAAAAAAAGAAGUAAACAGUUAAGAUCAAUUUGGCUUGGUUUUCACAUGGAACACAAACCGGGGUCGCCCGGGUGAAAGUCCUGUGUUUGUUCGGCCAAUCCGAACCGUCCACGCUUUCUUUGCUGAGGGAGCCGCACAGAUGGUCCAGUGUAAUGACACAGAUGGGAUGAAUCUUUGGAGUAAGUCAAAAGCCUGAUGCGUCUCACACAGACGCUAAAGUGUUCCCCCGGUGCGUCGCCAUUAAGCGCAGCAUCAACAAACUCUGGGUUUUAAUGCUUUGGGUUGUGAAGACGGGUCGGACUGUGACGCAUUGCGCUCACUCCACAAAAGUGGAGAAUCUAGUCAUUUCGUUUUUUCACGACCAGUCCCAGAAUUCCAUGUAACUUCCCUCAUGUCUCCACCUUUUUUUUUGUCACAGCACACGCUUUCACUUGUCAUAGCAGGGAAAGCACAGGUGGAACUAAUCCGUUAACGGUGGCUAACUUCCAUUCAGGCUGGGCCAAUGUGGGAGCAUGCACAAAGCCCGGACCCUUGAACUGAAUGCAGCCAUCCGAGCCACGCUAUUAAUUACAGCCUUGCUGCCUCUCGCACAGGCGAUUGACUUUGCAUGAACAGUCUGAACACGUCUUUCCCUCGCCUGCAGACUAACCAGCUUCAACGAAUUCAGCAUACUGCACAGUGUACAUUACCUCCCAGUGUGUUUUUAUGUCUUCGUACACCAUCACUGGAAGCCAGCACAUGGCAGCAGUGCAAAGUGACCUUCUCCACAGUAUAUUUUACACCGGGCGGCCCCCCGUGGCCCGGUGCCCUGUGUUCCAGCUGGAACGCAUUGUGACAGAUGCCACAUUAAGCAGCCCCCCCACCUCCCCCCCACACCGCCCACCGCCCUGCUACCCGCCAUCAAAAAUCCUUUGCAACUGCCUCUCAUGUGGAACUAGACAGCAUCUGCGCAUGUCUGUGUCUGUGUGUGUAUGCGUGUGUGUUUGCAUUAACGGAUGAGGUGAGGGGUCUGAAAGGCUUUAGGCCAUCAUUGGCCUCAGAAAGGCUCUCCGAACAGCCCUCACACUCCACAGCCGAGAUGUUUUCGGUCAUGUCAUCGCUUAUGUCUGUGUUCGCUUUGAAGAUCACGGCGGGGACAUUUGUUUAAGUGCGGUUACGUUUCUGACGGCUAUCACACUAUGCGAUUAUUUUUUAUUAGGAUGACAGCAGGUUAGCUUUGAGUAUGAAAAAAUGUUGACAAAAAAAUUCAAUUUAAUUAAAAAAAAAUACAUUUCUACUUUGUAAAAUACCAGGUGUCUAUCAGCGUAUUAGAGAGCUUCACUGUAGCCAUGACAUUUGACCUAAUCCUCUGAAACAAACUGGGGGCGGUCUGUUGAAAUGAACCUGUAAAGAUUUCAGGUAGAAUAUCCUUGGACAGCUUUAUAGGGUUGUAAUAGUGAGGAAAUAUGGAGAGUGAAAUAAACAUUUCUCUAUGUGGAAAAUAAUCUUUGUAUCCGAGUCACACUGAGACUUUGAGAGCAGUAGGCAACAAAGACACCACACACAAACUGAGGUAUGCUCGGUUUAAAUCCAUUUCCCCUGCUUUGCCACACAGUCACACAUCGACCCAAACCAAAAGUUUUCUAUUUACUGUCCGUUCUGCGUCUCAGAUGUACCCUUGAACCUUUGGUUUUCCUUUCGAUUGACAGCUAGAGUACACACAGGCGCACAAACAAAAACGCAGGUACGCACGUAUAUGCUCGCAGCACGGAGCCUUCCAGCUGUACUCCACGUAAAGUUUAAUGCUGGGAUCUAAAAUCAUUUUUCCUCACCUCUGGUCAGGCAAUAUCUGAACCACAUCAUUAUUUAUGAAUGACCAUAAAUACCCUUGCCACUGUACAAGGUGAUAUGUUAUGGGUUUUUUUUGUUCUUCAAUGGCACCUCUACGUUAAAAAAACAUUCAUUCAUUCAACACUCAUUCUGUCUCUUUUCCUUCAUUUGAGUUUUCUUUUUCUUCUUCUUCAGGAGGUGCGACGUGUUAGGAACAGCCAGACGGGCGGCAUUAUUAGCUGGGAGCCCCGGCUAUCACCCGGAGUGUGAUCACGUUGGCCCCUGCAGUUGAAAACAGAUGCUAUUCAACCGGCACCGGCAGAGUGGAAGAGCCCGAAGGCGGCCGAGUUUAUUUUUAGGUAAAUUAGUAAAGACAACAGUUGCUCCCCAGGUUGACGCUGCCUCGCUGAGGCGCCGUGCAAGGUGACGGAGUGGAAAGCGCAGACUCAGCCCAGGCAGCGCAGCCCCCGCGGGCCCCCCAGUCGUUUGGAUGAGCUCCAACCGACAGGUGGCCGCUGCGGUGGGCCGCCCCCCCCCUCCGCACCUCGUCCAGGUAAUUAGCCAUUCAGCAAGCCCCCCACGCAGGAGAGCAGGACAGUCAUCAACACAGACGGGUAUAAUGAAGACAAACUCGCUGCAGGAGACAUUAUUUUCGUAAAAUUUCUUAAUCUCCAUGUGUCACUUAACUGCUUUUCACACAGCGACACCUCCAAUGGUGGAGAUCAAGUAACCGUUAAAUAACUAAUGAGAAAAAAAGGAAGUAUCCUGAUGACUUUGUCUGCAUUGACAUUGAUUGGGGAGUCCGGGGACGGGAGCCCUUCAUGCACAUGUACAAAUACACAAGAGGGUGGUAUAGAAAGAGAGAUCACAAGCGGGUGUACAAAAGGGAGGUUGCCAGGCCUUUGGACUUCUCAUCUUGAGGAGCGUCUCCAGACUUUUGGACCUCUCAUCCGUGCCUGAGGAGAAUGUCUUCAGGCUUCCCCAGCUGCUACUCGCACAACACAUCUGAAUAUCUGACGGAGCUUUCAGCGCUGGAGUUGCGUUUGUUAGUAAUGUUUGCGAGCGAGCAUCAAAAUGAUAAAUUCUCUGUUUUGGCUGAAGUUUUGUUCCUUUUCCUUCUGUCCGACAUGAGUCCAACGUCCUCAUAAACAGGGGGACUGAAUUAGAUGUGUGUCUGAGAUGCUUAUGUACUUCUGUAACUUUGGAAUUUUCCCGGUAUCUGUUUGUUUCCUCUCUUUUUUCCCAGUUUUAAAAGCGAUAUAUGUAUACGUGUUUAAUUACUUAUGCGUACUUCGAACAACUGUGUUUACCUUUUUGAGGACACAGUUGGCAUUCUUUUUAAUGAACACAUUACUUCGCAACUCUUAUUGUAUGAAUUCAAAAUGUCUGACAGAAAACAGACGCAUGACUAUAAUAAGUAUCGUUUCGCGUACUCUCAAGGGGAGAGACAAUCAGCCUUUUUUCUCCCAAUGCGAGCGGGGAAACAGACAGCCGCAGUUCAUUACCGCCUUGAUUACCUAUAUUAUAAUAUUGUGCUCAGAUUCAGCAUUUUAUACUGAUUACAUCUAAUUUGCCGGUCAGACGGCAGUAGCCCCACCAGUGCGACAUGAAAGCGCUGACCUCCAACAACAGGCAUUCAGACGUGGUCGUGGUAAUAAGCUGCCGUUUCCCACAGCGUCAAUAACAGGGACUGUUCUUUAAUGUCCAGUUUGGCCCCCUGUGGUUUUUAAGAAGAAGUGUCUUUUUGAGAGAAAAAGCACGAUGUUGUCGAUGGAAGUCAAGGGCUUGAACGUCAGUUGUGAGUUCUGGGAAUGGUCUGGUGGACACUUGUGGAUGGGUCGGUCGCCGUUGAUGGGCAGUAAAUGGGGGAAAGGGAUCCAUGUAAAUGUGAACCCGGCUGAUGCGGCUCUGUUGAGAAAUCAGGUGGCCAUUUGAAUAUUCAACCCUUGGGCCAGCACUCUAAUUCCUUUCCCCUCAACAUGCCACACAAGGAGAGAGGAAGUGACAAAAUGGCAAGGAGUGCACAGGCAAGAAUUUGCAUUUUAAUGUGCCUGUCGGAAUCACUUUGGAUGAGAGCUAGGAGUAGGAGAGACCACGCAACCCCUCGGGUCGGCACCAAACAACCUAUAAUAGCCGCCGCACAGAAAAACAACAUCCUGCGAGAGGGGAGCGUUUUUUUUUUUGGAAACAGGAAAGAAGGAGAAUCAAUGUUGUUGAGAGAUCACAACCAGUUUGGAUCCGUAAAGCCCAGGUGGAACAAGUAGACAACUUUGAAAAAGUUCAACAAAUAUAUUCUUAAGCCAACGAAACAGAAAAUUACACAACCUUGAAAUAAUGUUAUUCCAAACUGUGAUGGCAAACGUUAUCAUUAAUUCCAAUGACACUCUAAUUAUAAAGAUUGUUUCCUGAAGGACAUUUUCCAAUGCAUAUUUCAUGUCUGCAACAACAACAACAGAAUCCCAAAGCUGCAACUGCGUGGACAAGAUGUUUUGUCAAGAUCAUUAUUUUUUUUUCUUCUUUUAUACCUUUCCUUCACAACGGCAGUAUUCUCCUUCCUCCUCAACAGAGGAGACACAUUGUUUUUUCUCUACCACAACGACUUGAGACAACUUGAAAACAGCUGCCUGGGAGUUCAUACGUUCACGCGUUGGCACUCUCUUAUUGCCAUUUAAUGUCCUCAAUCACAUUGUCACUUGACAGAAGGUGAGGGGAGUAUUGAACGGCGCGAUUAAAUCAGUUCAAUUUGAUCCCUCGCCGUUGCUCAGGAGUAUCUUUCCACGUAUCGAUGAGUGUGCGCCGCGCCCUGUGCAGACGCAAGGACACUGAGUGACUGGCGCUGAGGCACUUCCUCUGUCGGGGGACGGUCACGGAGCCGACAGCGAGGUCAGACAUCGGGAUGCCAUUGAGAAGCCGGAGUCAUCCUAGAGGAGCACGAAGCCCAAUUCACCUCAAAUGCUGGAGCCAUUUUGUUCUUUCAAGGUCCUCUGUACAGUUCCAAUUUAACAAGAACACAGUCUCCUUGGAUAUUUAAGCAGCUGCCUCAAACUUUCUAUGCCUACAAAUAUCCUGAAUACAGAAUAGUUUCUAUAUAUUGUAUUUAAAAGCAGACAUAUAAUACAAACCUUUAAAGGGAAGCUGCAGCAUGUACAGAAUAGUUUCUAUAUAUUUUUAUUUAAAAGCAGACAUAUAAUACAACCCUUUUAAGGGCAGCUGCAUUAUGUAGUACAAGUAAAAAAAGUGUGCAAUUUGGAAUACAACUAGCGUAAUGCUCAGUUUUUAUGCACCAAAACAUAAACUUUACUAUAGACUUAUAUUUACAGAAGCCUGCUAUAAUUUUUUCUUCCUGGUAACAGGACACAGGGUUAAACAAAUGACUUUCAUCCCCGGGGCUGAAAAAUCAAUGUAUUCCAGUUCCAAAAGUUACAGUAAACAGUCCCAAAAGGGGGUCUUCAGAGGCCAAUGGUUUUGGGAAGAACCUCAGUUAUUCCAAAUAUGACUUGUAUUGAGGGUUUUUGGAUGCGUUGGUGCUAACCUACUAAGGGACAAGGUAAGGAUGAAAGCAUUCAUCAUCAGGUUAUUGCAAGACAUAAACACAGUUUGCCGGUAUUCAAUUCCACAUGCUGUGCAAGCACAAACAUUCAGUUUUCUGUAGCAGCUGUGUUAAAGAGGAACUUACAUAAGUCGCUUUUCACCUUCAGGAUGGAGAGGAGGAUGACAUACAACAAAAUUCAUUGGCUUGAAUCCAACCUCAGAAGCUGCAGAGUGAAAGCAAAGCGCAGCAUCCGCGGGCCGACAGGAAGACAUGCGAGCUUUUUCACCUAACUUUGUGGUUUAAACUCCCCAACCCAACUUUUUCUAACUCCCUCGGUUUCUUCUUCUAUUUCCCAUUCACUCCAUUUUCUACACCUCCAAUAUCUUUCAUAAUUUCCAUUUAGCCUCUCAGUCAGGCUGCAUUGCUCUCUCUCUCUGGGCCGCCUUUGUCCGUUAAACCCGUUACCGUCCUGUAGUAAUCUAACCCGGCCUUCCAAGCCAUUAUUGCACCAACUCUCCCGGAUCCGGUCCUAAUGCAAUCGGAAGAGCUUUUCCACUCUCACUGUUUCCCCAGUUUCACUUAAUAAGUCCCAUCUCAUUGUUCUUUCGGGCCACAAACAGAAUUUUGCCUCAAAUUGAAUUCACGCCACAGCUCUGGGCUUUGCAGAAUCGACACCCUUCUUGCUCUAGCGCUUUUCACUGUGGGUUGUUGUUUUGUUCGAAGCCGUGACAUGUCACGUAGAAGUGAGAGAAAAUGAUGAAGUGCUGCAGGAAAGACGUGCGUGGUCCCGUUUCACCUUUACUUUGUGCCCUUCUAUUUGAAUUUGACUUAGUUCGUCUGUUCGUUAAUAAAAAAUGACGGCAAGCUCGGUUGUUUACCAGAAUAAUGUCCUACUUGAUUUGCCUGAACCAGUAGCGGUAGUAUGUCAAUAAUAAGGUUAUAUCCUAACAAAAUGAGAGCGGCAGAAUCGAUACAUUAAAACUCCCAAGCUUUAUCUUCUCCACCCCCGGGACUUGUGCGCACGGCCGUCUGGGAAAACUUAAUUCCGACUCGGGUAGAGGAUGAGCCCUCGCUGUGCCAAUCUGUGCUCCUGAACGUUCACUUCCUCCGGUAAAAAGCGGUUCAUGAGGGUUUGGCAUGCAGCUGAUGGUCCACUUGAUUACCUGCAGCUCUCUCCACUUCCCUCCACUUUCUCCCGCCUCUCGUUGGUUUCCGAACAUGACCCUAUUGAUUUGCCCCAUUCCCAGCACCCGCCUUCUCUUAUUUAUUUGCACAGUUAAUCUGCAACACAGCUUUGACCCAUUGUCCCGACAAUGGAGUGGAAACAAGCUGCACUGGCUAAAUGAAAAGCAUGGCAAUUGUGUUUCAAUCGCUCUGGAACAGGGAAAGCGUCCGUGUCCCAAGGUCGGCCAAGCAAGAAAUAUUUCUAGACUCCCGGGCCACACAAUCACUGGAGACGGAGUAGAUAGAUGAAGUGUUUGAAAUAUGUGCGCAGCAAAGUAAAAAUGGACUAAUUCCUAUAUUUCUAUCGAAAAGGCUUCCACGAACCCCAUAGAACUUUACUUCCAGUGACCAUGAGCCUUCAUAUCCAAAUAACAGCAGCACCGUUUGUCUCCUGCGCCUCCUUAGUUCCAGUUCGGUGCACUACUGGACACACUCGAGGACACAGAAAUUAUCUCUGGGAUGUUGCACCCUCAGGCUCAACUCUGCUGCAACUUUUACUGCAGCUUUAUACCAAAUCACACUUAUUUUGUGUUGUCCAUCCCCCUGCAGUCUCAUCUCUCUGUGGUUGCUAGGAGGAAAAGGCAGAUUCUCACAAAAAGGUGCCAUCUGCACCUUAGAAAAUGGCCUUGACUCACAGACACACCCAGACUUAAGUGUAUCCCUUAUAAUUGAAAAGGCCCCAAAGCAGCAAGUCACAGUAUGUUUCACAUUAUGGCUAAAACAACGUUAGACAGGUUUCAUUUCAUUUCCUUCUCGGAUUCCCGGUGGAUUCAUUCACACCCUGGCUCAAUGGUAUUGAGCCAAGAAACAUUCAUUCUCUCCAUUUUCUCCGUCCCUCUUGCAUCUGCCUCUCCAUCGGCACUUCAGCCGGUGUGUCAGAUUGCUGGCGGCGAUGUGGCGGGCGCUCUGUCAGACGGGUACCGGCAGAGGCUCAUCGGAGUACAUGGGAACAUCAGGUACUGUAGGAUCCACGUCUGGCGCGGCUCUCGUUCUUUUGUGUUAUUUUCAAAAAGGCCCUCCAGACACACACGCCCUCGAGUGUCCGUUAAAAGGUGUGAACUCUUCUCCUUCUCCCCCCGCUGCUCUCCCUCCGCCCACGCCACCGAGACGGGCGGAGCAGAAUUGACAUGCCACGGUCAGACCUGCCAUUUGACAAUAGCUGCUUUGCUAUCACUGUCAUUAUCAUAAAUCACUGCAACGUGUUUUGCCUCCCCCUAUAAUUUCUGUGCUUGGCAAGCGAAUGUCCACUUGGCUGCACAAGGACCCUUGUUUGUGACUCUGGCAACAGAGCCGGCCGUUUUUUUUUAGCUAAUACUCUCAAAGAACUACUCCCCAUGCAAGUUCGACCUGUACGCCUGGGCUGCUCCCAGUUUGGAGCAUCGUUUGAAAGCCGGGCGAGGAGGGUGUGGGGGGGGGAGGCUUUGUUCUAUCUCGACUCCGAUGCAGUGAGAGUAUUUGGGGAUGAAACAUUGGCAUUAAAGACUUCUGAGCAGCAGAAGGUCUGGUGACUGUAAUUUCUAGCUCUGCCCAGCCAUGAGUUUUAUCACCUGCUAUCAAAUACAGCCUCAUUUACAUAUCCACUUUAGCUAGUUUAAAUUAAACACUUUGAACCACCUGCAUGGAUCAUUACAACCCUCUCUGUGCUUUUUUAAAAUAUGUAAUCCAGGCGUACAUCUUUGGGGUGCGGACAUAAAUACAGAUUUGAAGCCAGUUUUGUUUGAUCAAUGCUUUAAAUGAAUGUGUUCGUCCCACAUGCACAGGGAAACGUUUUGUCUGGUAUUACUGGUUAUCUAUAAGUUGAUUUGAAUUUGUUGGAUGUGCUGUAAUUUUAGUUGUGUUGAGUUUUCUCUGGACACACUAGGGAAGGAGAUCUGCACAAGAUGAUGAAAACGAUUUCAAAGUAGUGCUUCAAAACACAUGGUUUCUGUCCUAAUAUAACUAAUUGGAAGCUUGAAGCAAAAAAUAGCUUCAAGCUGCCAAAAACCCUAUAGCUUGCUAUUAGAUUCUGUAGAAGUACACAUAGCUCAAUAUGUAUAGCAUGUGGAGCCUCACAACUUGUGGGCACUUGAAAUAAUGUUGGAUAUAUCAAUUGCAGUGUUUCAAAAUUAUUUUUGUUGUCUUCUUUUUCUAUUCACAGAAUCACACUGUACUAUACUGCACAGAAUUCUCUUUACGAAGGUACGACCAAUCCUAUAUUGCAGUGAAAACCAACGUGAGUAAAAUGUAACUGGAGCAAAAAAUAAUAGAUCGAUAAAGAGAGGGAGAGAAAGUCUAUUGCGUAUUAAAAGCUGACUAAUUAACCUCCUGUGUCAUAUAAAAACCCUAUGAUUCCAUUCCUACAAAUAAAAUACUGGUUUCUCUCCAGUCCUUUUAAAAUGAUAUAAUUUUCAUAGGUGUGCACUAGUCCAAGUGAACAGUUCCAUAAUUGUUAAACUUUAAACAGAUAAAUUCAAUUUGCAGCGUUUGAAUUGUAAGCUAGAGCUCAUCGUGCUUACAAAAGUCAAAAGAUAACUGGCCAUCUUCAUCAAUUAUUAAGAAACUGAAAAUGUAUUUGGGAAAUAAGCACCACUAAGCUUUAGGAAACUAAAUGUAUUUAGUUUUCUGGUCCAGACCAGGUUUCAGCCUUUGGUUGACCAGUCCUGAAAUCAGGUUGCCAUUUUAAGAUACUAGCAGUUAUACAUGAACUUAAAAUAUAACAAAAGAAAAAAAUGGUAUUACACAAAUAGUUUGUGUUUCAUUUAAUAGCCAACUUUACAGUUAUACUUCAACAUCAUUUAACGUGUCCAUCCUCGGUUCCACACAAGGAUCACUCAAACAUUGCUAGUCCCUUCCUUGUGGUUUUUGGUGCGUUGCCUUCUGUGGAUUCCUUCCACCGAUCCAUUGGCACUUCUAGCUUUUACGUCUAAGAACAUCAGCUCGCCUUUAACCUUCAAAAGAUUACUUUUAAAUCUGUCUUGAUUCCGCUGAGACAGUGAAGCGACUGCGCUGCACGUUCGUAAAGUCUUGUUUUUGUCUCUGCAUGUCGGAGGUCGGUCUGUGUGCCUUUUUGCCUUACCGCCGCUCAGAGCUCUUAGGACUGGUUUGUCACCUCCCUGUUACCUCCACGCCAUCUGGACUCUCACUCCGUAAGCCCGGUUUUGUUAUUGAAGUCGCUUUAUUGCAUUGGCCUCCCUGUGGGUCUUCGAAUCUGCCCCCCCCCCCCCCCUCCAUGGCAAUGGGGUGCCAGUAGAUAGCUGGAGACUCUCUGUUUCGCCCCAGUGUAGCCCCCCCCAUGCCCCUCUCAGGCUGAUCCAACCCUACCCAUGAAACUGCCUGUGACAGAAGGUAAAAUUAUACACCGUUGCAGUAAGUCAUUUCAGAAAUGAAAGUAAAUCCUUGCUCCAUGUGUGGCAUUGUUUUUUCUUGUUGUUUAGAGAGGGAGUGAGCUUUAAAUGUCAAACUCAUUAGCAAAGGAGGGGUACGUAACUGGACCCGUGAGACCGGACCUCAGCAGGAGGUGACGAGCGGGAUGAGGAUGUGGUUUGUCAGCCCGCUGGAUAUUUGGCCGGGUCGCAGGGGGCGUGGUCACGGGUGGCGUCUGGAGGCAGGCGGUGGGAGAAUAUGCACCUGGAGUACAACAACGGGGGGGGGGGGGGGGAAUACAGACCCCCCAAGGAGAACACGUUGGGGGGGAAACAAGGACAAGGACAAUGGACAUUGUGGUCCACAGUAAACAUGUGAUGAAGCUCUAAUAUGCACAUUGCUCGGGCCUGAAGUUUAUUUCUCAUCCUGCCGUUGAUUCAUAAUCUACCUGCCGUCAUUGUUUGCGGCUGCACACAUCAGUCGUCAAUCCAAUGUCACAUCGACA
ensembl:lncRNA